rnacentral:rRNA from 1 species
AGUGAACGCUGGCGGUAGGCCUAACACAUGCAAGUCGAACGGCAGCACAGUAAGAGCUUGCUCUUACGGGUGGCGAGUGGCGGACGGGUGAGGAAUACAUCGGAAUCUACUUUUUCGUGGGGGUUAACGUAGGGAAACUUACGCUAAUACCGCAUACGACCUACGGGUGAAAGCAGGGGAUCUUCGCACCUUGCGCGAUUGAAUGAGCCGAUGUCGGAUUAGCUAGUUGGCGGGGUAAAGGCCCACCAGGGCGACGAUCCGUAGCUGGUCUGAGAGGAUGAUCGGCCACACUGGAGCUGAGACGCGGUCCAGAGUACUAAGGGAGGCAGCAGUGGGGAAUAUUGGACAAUGGGCGCAAGCCUGAUCCAGCCAUACCGCGUGGGUGAAGAAGGCCUUCGGGUUGUAAAGCCCUUUUGUUGGGAAAGAAAAGCAGCAGGUUAAUACCCCGCUGUUCUGACGGUACCCAAAGAAUAAGCACCGGCUAACUUCGUG